ensembl:misc_RNA Metazoa_SRP Metazoan signal recognition particle RNA
GCCGGGCGUGGUGGCACAAGCCUGUAGCCCCAGCUACUCGGGAGGCUGAGGCCAGAGGGUCGCUGGAGUCCAGGAGUUCUGGCCUGCAGUGCACUAUGUCCGCACUAAGUUCGGCAUCAAUAUGGUGACCUCCUGAGAGCGGGGACCACCAGAUUGCCUAAGGAGGGGUGAACUGGCCAGGUUGGAGACGGAGCAGGCCAAAGAACGCAGGAGUCGUUUAUGCAGCGGGAGAGAGACCUUCACAAGAGUACACACUGCACGACUUCAUUCACAGGAGUGGAGUU